rnacentral:tRNA from 1 species
UGGGUUGUGGCUCAGUGUUGGAGCACUUGCCUGGCAAGUGUGAGGCGCUGGGUUCAAUCCUCAGCACCACAU